GAAUCUUCCACAAUGGGCGAAAGCCUGAUGGAGCAAUGCCGCGUGCCGGAUGAAGGCCUUCGGGUCGUAAACGGCUUUUAUAAGUGAAGAUUGUGACGGUAACUUAUGAAUAAGGAUCGGCAAACUCCGUGCCAGCAGCCGCGGUCAUACGGAGGAUCCAAGCGUUAUCCGGAAUUACUGGGCGUAAAGAGAUGCGCAGGCGGUUUGUUAAGCGAGAUGUGAAAUCCCGAGGCUCAACUUCGGGGCUGUAUCUCGAACUAAUAAACUAGAGAACAAGAGAGGUACCUGGAAUUCCUUGUGUAGGAGUGAAAUCCGUAGAUAUAAGGAGGAACACCAAUGGCGAAGGCAGGGUACUGGCUUGUUUCUGACGCUCAGGCUCGAAAGCGUGGGGAGCGAACGGG
rnacentral:rRNA from 1 species